GGCCGCGGGAUCACGUGCACCUGCCUCCGAACCCCACCCUCCUCACCAAACCGCGCGAGACCAACUGCCCCCAGGCCAUCUUCUUCUUCCGCACGAAAGAAGGAUCUGCCCAGGGGGCAAAAUCCUCCUUCAUCGCCAGGAGAGAAGAACGAACAUGGCGGCUCCCAGAGACAAAUAAGAGAAGAGAAGAGAAGAGGGCUUAGAAGUCAGAAAAGAAGACCAAGAGAAAAGCAGAUCAAAGGGAGGAGGGCGAAAAAAGAACCCACCUGGAGAUCCACAGGUUGAAGCAGCUUUCAAGGAUGAUAGACCUCAAUGUGUUGCCUCCCGAUCUCAAUGAGUUGCCAAAUGAUGAUGUCGAGUUUGUACAUUCAGGGGUUUUCACACAGCCUCAUCAAGAUCAUGGCUUGUUGCACUUUUUUGUUGAAACAAAGUGCAGCCUGAAUUGCCACCUGUCCUAGAUCCUAUACCAGACCCCAAACCUUUGGGUGAAGAAGAAGAAAUUGAAGAAGUGCCAAUAUUCGAUGGAGAGGAUAGUGGAAAAAAGAAGAAUAAGAAGAAGCGCAAGAGAGAAAGGAUAAAGCAAACACAAUGUAAGGCAAAAAUGCUGGUUAAAUUGAAGGAUGGGCGGUGGGAAGUAACCCACUUUGUCCGUGAUCAUAAUCAUCCUUUGGUCCCCAAGCCUUCGCUCUCCAAAUACUUGCGAUCUCACAUGGGUAUACCGCCGGAGGAAAAGAAGUUCCUAGAGAUACUCUACAACUGCAACCUAACUUCAGGCUGUAUGAUGACUAUCAUGUCAGAGUUUUAUGGCUCGGAGCUAAAUGUACCAUAUGGGCCUAAAGCAAUAACAAACUUAUGUGCUGGCUUCUCCAAAGACUCAACGAAAGAGGGGGGCAUUAUUGAGACAAUUGAACAUUUUAAAGAGUUGCAAAAAGAUGAUCCAGACUUUUUCUAUAAGAUAAAAUAUGAUCCCGAAGGAAGGGCAGAAAACAUUUUUUGGGUGAAUGGCUUGGCAUGGAAAGCUUAUACGGAGGCAUAUCAUGAUUGUGUCUCCUUUGACACAACCUACAUGACCAAUAUGUACAACAUGCCUUUUGCUCCGUUCAUUGGAAUCAAUUGUCAUGGGUAAUCUUUCAUGUUGGGCUGCGUGUUUGUGAGGCAAGAAAUGGAGACCAGCUUUGAUUGAGUUUUUGGAGCUUUCCUAGAGGCUAUGAAUGGAAGGGCACCAGAUAACAUCAUUACUGAUCAGGAUGUGGCAAUGAAAGAGUCCAUAAAGAAUAUAUUUCCCACAAGUGUGCACCGAUGUUGUCGGUGGCACAUCAUGAAAAAAGCUCAAGAGAAAGUUGGAUGGUUGCUAGGCCGGAACCCGGGAUUGUCUAAAGAUUUCAACCAUUGCGUUGAUUUCAGUUUCACACCAGAUGAGUUUGAACAGAAUUUGGCUGUGUUGAUGAUGAAAUAUGAGGCAAUUACACACACCCAUUUUGAGAAGCUAUACAAAUAUAGGAACACUUGGGUGCCAUGUUACUUCAAGCAUAGAUUUCUUCCCAUUCUUGCAGUCUACACAACGAAGUGAGGGGUUCAAUGCAGUCUUGAAGCGGUAUGUCAACCCUCACAAGUCAAUUCUGAACUUUGUGAAGGAGUACCACAAAAUACAGACGCACAUCCUCAUCAAGGAAGGGUGCAAUGACUACAGGACAGAACAUCUGGAUCUUGACAUGUGGUCACAAUUCCCAAUAGAGAAGCAGGCAUACAAGACAUAUACUAGAGAUCUUUACUGCAAGUUCCGUGAUGAGUUUUCGAUGAUUGGACGCUAUAAUGCAUUCCAAAUUGGUGUGGAAACGUUUGAGCUGAGACCAAAUACAGAAUGGGUUGUGAAGUAUGGUUACAGGAACUACUUGGUGUUGGCAAAAAUACCCGAGGGACAAUUUUCGUGUGAGUGUACCAAAAUGGAGAGGGAUGGCAUCCUUUGUUGCCACAUACUAAAAGUGUUCACACAUAUUGGGCUUGAUGUCAUCCCGGAGCAGUACAUGUUGACGCGUUGGACGCCAAUUGCUAUCCCAAGUGUGCCAAGUGCCACUAGCCAGCAAUCUGAUGUAAUGCCUCCUGCCUCUCUAAAGGAAAUUAGGCAUGCUAACAUGACCUCAGACUUCCAAAAACUAGCAAAGUUUGCUUGUGGUUCUGAUGCAGCAAAAGGCAUUGUCGAUAAACACAUGCGUGCAACGCGGACAGAGAUUGUGCAGCUGAACAAGUCUAGAAGGAAAAAAGGCUGCAAGAGAGGCAGGUCCGUCCGCUGGUGAUAACAACCAGGAUCCUCCCGUGCCGCCUACAUCUACAGGGUCUGCUCCAGCAACUACCCCUACUGGACGUGCUCCACCGCCUACUCCCAUGGGCCAUGGUGGACCACCUCCUCCCAUGGAACGUGUUGGUCAUGGUCCACCAUGUCCUCCCAUGGGUCGUGCUGCUCAUGCUCCAGUGCCUCCUCCCAUGGGUCGUGCUGAACAACCUCCUCCGAUGGGUCAUGGUGGGCCACGUGUGAGUAAUGCUUCGGCACCUCUUCCUAUGGGUAACACAACACAAGGCCAUACUAACUGCACUGAGCGGAUGUCGCCUACGAGCAACGACGAUGAGGUUGCAACUCCCAGGGAUCCGCCAAAGUCAACUACAGAAGGGAGGGCAAGGAGUAGACGCUAUCAUUCAGCUCUUGAACUGCACCUGAAAAGGAAAAACAGGUGCAGCAACUGCAACUCAGAUAAGCACAAUGCUGCUAGCUGCCCUACGAAGUUGGCAUGACAACUUGGUGACAUAUAAGCAAUAGAUAAAAUGAGGGAAGCAUAAAAAAAAGUUCUGGCUUUGCACUGUUAGGACAUGGAUGGAGCUAUGAAGAUCCAGCAACAAAAAACUUCUUUGGAAACUUCUUCUUUAUGUUGUUUAAACUUAGCAUCUGGCCCAUUUGUAUUUCAUGUUAAAAAAGUCAUGUAUACUAUCACUUUGCUAUGUGUGAGGCUACCUAUUUACCUAUUUAUGCCUCUGUUGGCAAAUUUACACAUUUACGCAUGCAACAUAGUAAAAAGAAAAAAUGUUACUAUGUGUGUUGUCCUUUA